rnacentral:rRNA from 1 species
AUGUGGGCCCCGGUGUCCAUACGCCUGCCGACUGCCGUCCUCGGACCGGCCCAGCCGCCCGCCCAGCUAGAUAGCCGUGUUGGACCCGUGCGCCUGGGUGUCAGUGCUGCUGCUAGUAAACAACAAGUGCUCUGCCUCCGCCCCUCUUCUCCCCUUUCUCCACAGUCCAAGCAACAGAAGAGGCACACACAUCUCAAUAAGAUUCAGAGAAUCACCUCACCACUAUCCCCCGGUGCCAGUCGCCGCCAUGGGGUCGGGAUCUUGCUGCUGCAUCGGCUGCGGCUGCGGCAGCGACGACGACGGCGGCGGCGGCGAUGGCGGCGUGGGGCUGGACCCCAAGGGGUUCCUGCUGGCCAUGCUGAUCGCCCUGGUGCUCGUCAUGCUCUGCCACAUGCCCAAGCCCCGCCGCAACAACUACGUCGUCUACCGCUGCUAGCCAUAGCCAGCCAGCCAGAUGAGCCAUCUCCGGCCGUUCGUUCGUGGAGUGGUCGCGCGCCGGGCGGCCGGGCGAUGGCCGAGGCUUGA